GAAUGCAACCGUGGUGUCAGUUCCCACCAGACCACCAGGCUGACUUGUGCGGCCACAUUGUCGGUGGGAGGGGGCGCCGGCGCCGGAUCCACAUGCGUGAGGGGCAGAUAGGCGGUGGCCGGGAUCCACGCGGUAGUGGGAGCGGGCACCGGAUCAUUCUAGGCGCGUGGGGGACGGAGAGGCGACGGGAUCUGUGGCCUGCGGGGAAGAGGAAGGGGGCGCCAGAUCCGCCCUU
rnacentral:misc_RNA from 1 species